rnacentral:rRNA from 1 species
CUUAGGGGUUUUGGAGAUAAGUGGUGUGCCUGGGUUGAUCAAGUUUUUAGGAACGGGGAAGUGAGUGUUAAGAUUAACAACACCGUAGGUCCAUAUUUCCAAAGCUUUAAGGGGGUUCGUCAGGGAGACCCUAUGUCCCCCUUUUUGUUCAAUUUAGUAGCCGAAUGUCUGGACAAAAUGGUUUUCAAUGCUCAAAAAAAUAAUCUGUUCAAAGGGCUCGCGGCUGAUCUCAUCCCAGGGGGUGUGGCUAUUCUUCAAUAUGCUGACGAUACGGUUCUUUGUAUCGAGGAUAACAUCGAAAAAGCUGUUAAUUUAAGCUGGUGCUAUAUCUCUUCGAACUUAUGUCCGGGCUUAAAAUCAAUUUUAUGA